rnacentral:rRNA from 1 species
UGCNAGUCGAGCGAGAAAGUGACUUCGGUCACGAGUACAGCGGCGGACGGGUGAGUAACACGUGGAUAACCUGCCUAGGUGUGGGGAAUAACUCGGGGAAACCUGAGCUAAUACCGCAUAUGUUUCCCGGACUGCGGUCCGGGUCGCAAAGAUGACCUCUUCAUGAAAGUUGUCGCACUUAGAGGGGUCCGCGCCUGAUUAGCUUGUUGGUGGGGUAACGGCCUACCAAGGCUUCGAUCAGUAGCCGGCCUGAGAGGGCGAUCGGCCACAUGGGAACUGAGACACGGUCCUAACUCCUACGGGAGGCAGCAGUAGGGAAUAUUGCGCAAUGGGGGAAACCCUGACGCAGCAACGCCGCGUGGAGGAUGAAGGCUUUCGGGUCGUAAACUCCUGUCAGGUGGGAAGAAAAGGCGUACGUAAAUAGCGUGCGCCGUUGACGGUACCACCAGAGGAAGCCCCGGCUAACUCCGUGCCAGCAGCCGCGGUAAUACGGAGGGGGCAAGCGUUAUUCGGAAUCAUUGGGCGUAAAGGGCGCGCAGGCGGCCUGGCAAGUCAAAGGUGAAAUCCCUCGGCCCAACCGAGGAACUGCCUUUGAAACUGCCUGGCUUGAGGCCGGGAGAGGGUAGUGGAAUUCCCAGUGUAGAGGUGAAAUUCGUAGAUAUUGGGAAGAACACCGGUGGCGAAAGCGGCUAUCUGGUCUGAUUUUGACGCUGANGCUCGAAAGCGUGGGGAGCAAACNNNAUUAGAUACCCUGGUAGUCCACGCCGUAAACGAUGAUAACUAGAUGUCGGGGGGUCGCCUCUCGGUGUCGCANCUAACGCAUUAAGUUAUCCGCCUGGGNAGUACNGUCG